GAAAUGCGAUAAGUAAUGUGAAUUGCAGAAUUCAGUGAACCAUCGAACCUUUGAACGCACAUUGCGCCCCCUGGUACCCCGGGGGGCAUGCCCGUCCGAGCGUCAUCUCAGACCCUCAGGCCCCGGCCUGGCGCUGGGCCCCGCGCGCAUGGCGCGGGCCCGAAACCCCGCGGCGGGACAGCGGUCUGACCACGCCGUAAAACCCCCAACUUCUCAAGGUUGACCUCGAAUCAGGUAGGAAUACCCGCUGAACUUAAGC
rnacentral:misc_RNA from 1 species